CCCGAGAAAAAAAAACCCGCUAAUACUACUAGGAAUAUGUUUAACUUCCUGCUAAUCCUGUUAAGUUCCUGCUAAUACGGCUAAUCCUGUUCCAUCUCAAACCAUGUACAAUCAAUCAGCUUCAGGAUUCUGUUUGCAAUCAAUUAAUUAAUGAAACAUCAAACUUAAUUCAUAAUGGCGACAAGAGUUUGUUGUUUACAAUGAUCUAAAACAGAUUUCUUUUUGUACCAUCUUGACUUUGUGUAGUGUUUCUUUUAAGAAUUAAAUAAAUUUGUUAAGAGAAAAGAAAUCAUAUCCACCUGUUAUCGCGGAUAACAGGUGGAUGCGAUUAAUAUCUAUUAAAGUAAUUAAAUAUUUAUUUUAGAUACAAUUAUUAAUUGUUUUUUGU